GUGCUUGCUUCAGUAGAACAUAUACUAAAAGUGAAACCAUACAGAGAAGAUUAGCAUGGCCCCUGCGCAAAGAUGAUAUGGAAAUUUGUUCCAUAGUUUU
ensembl:snRNA U6 U6 spliceosomal RNA